GUCUCUCGGCUUUCUCGCUCACUCUAUGUCCACUGAAAUUUCAAGAAAGAUUCAAGUGGAAAACGGGUGAAAUUAGCAGGAUCCAGUAAUGAAAAUGGCAGUUUGAAGGCUGAAGUUGAAGAAAGUUCAGCUGCUGGUGACAACAAGCUAGCUGAAGAAAGCUCUAAACCUUCCGAGCCACCCAAGCAAGACUAUAUCCAUGUCAGGGCAAGAAGGCUCAUGGAAUACUCUUCCCAAACUUAAGACACUUAAUCAGUAAGCGAGUGAACGACAUAAGUUUCUAAAUUACAGAGAGGAGAUAUCUUAUUACAAGGAACUCUCUCCAACAGAACUCAGUCCAAAAGAACAUUUGCUACUCUUAAAAGCAUUAUGUGGACUCCAAGCUCAAAUUUGACAAGAUCAUCAACAAGGAAAAACCGAAUAAGGUGGUUUUGAAGACGAUAAGGACUUGAAGAAGCAGCUGACGCUGAUCUAUCCCAGAGACGAAGGCAAAUCUCUACUAAACAGCCCAUAUUGGCCGACGACAGAGAUUUAGUAUGCAAAGUCAGCGAAGCUGGUGAGGUUUCCAAGGACGUCACCAAUUUCGUGAAGUUGCUGGAGAACAAAUUGGAAAAGUUCAAUGCUUUCUUUGUGGAGAAGGAGGAGUGGUACGUUAGUAGAUGGAAGGUAUAA